rnacentral:pre_miRNA from 1 species
AAUGGAAUUGCUAGAUUGUGUUGUAAAUUUAAUUUUUAAAAAAAUACUGUGAAACUUUUUUCUAAAGUAUCUGUACCAUUUAGAAUUCUGCCUGCCAU